rnacentral:lncRNA from 1 species
CCUUGUGCCCCGACCCUCUGGGGCCUUUGUCAGUGGCCACAGCAGCCCAACACUCUCACCCCUCACCUGGCCUGACUGGAGAAGGCCCUGGGCCUGCCGGUUACCAUCCCACAUUGCCCCCACAGGGCUCUCAGUGUAGCAAGGGCAGGGAGAAGGCCCAGGCUGGAAGGUCCACUCCUCAUUCUCCCUGCCCCACCCUGCCAUGCCCAUCCUGAUGGUCACCAUGGCCUGUACCAGGCCUCCGGCGGAGAAGCUGGGCACCACGUACUUCACGUCAAAGUCGCGAGAGGCCGCGUAGGGGGUGCGCGGGCACUGCCAGUCCUCGCCCGCCGCGGGCUUGGCAGGCAACAGCAGCAGCAACAGGAAGGACUGAGGCAGCGGCGGGAGGAGCUCCAUCGAGGCGAGCUGGGACCCUAGAGGAUCCCUACCGGCCUGGGCCUGGACCUGGGCGUGGGCCUGGCUGGGGGCCCGACUCGAGGUCUGGACUGGGCCAAAUUUAAGCAGCGGUCCCGACAGCCCCAAGAUAGCGGACCCCCGCCCCAGG